rnacentral:rRNA from 1 species
GAUGAACGCUAGCGGCAGGCUUAAUACAUGCAAGUCGAGGGGCAGCACAGAUAGCAAUAUUGGGUGGCGACCGGCAAACGGGUGCGGAACACGUACACAACCUUCCUUUUAGUGUGGGAUAGCCCAGAGAAAUUUGGAUUAAUACCACAUAGUAUAUUGGAGUGGCAUCACUUUGAUAUUAAAGAUUUAUCGCUAAAAGAUGGGUGUGCGUAUGAUUAGGUAGUUGGUAGAGGUAACGGCUCACCAAGCCUUCGAUCAUUAACUGGUGUGAGAGCACGACCAGUGACACGGGCACUGAGACACGGGCCCGACUCCUACGGGAGGCAGCAGUAAGGAAUAUUGGUCAAUGGACGGAAGUCUGAACCAGCCAUGCCGCGUGAAGGAUGACGGCCCUCUGGGUUGUAAACUUCUUUUAUGUGGGACGAAAAAGGGCCAUUUUUGGUCAACUGGCGGUACCAUAGGAAUAAGCACCGGCUAACUCCGUGCCAGCAGCCGCCGUAAUAC